GUCGGCCCAGGCCCCGGGGCUGGGAGGAGAGGAUGCCUUCGGAGGCGCAGAAUCCGAAAGUAUCUAAUUGUCUUUUUUCGCUGAGCAUACCAAAGAGAGUAACAAGUACAAAGUACUUGAUGUUUAAAGGAAUGCAGAAUAUCCAAUGCUACAAAAGGAACAAUGUAUCUGGAAUAAAAUGAGUGAAGGGGAUAGUGAUACAAGGAGAAGUUGAAAAGAGAUGUGGUUGGAGCUGGAAGCUGUUAUCCUCAGCAAACUAAUGCAGGAGGAGAAAACCAAAUACUGCAAGUUCUCACUUAUAAGUGGGAACUGAAUGAUGAGAACAUUUGGACAUGAAGACCAAAUCUCCAGGAUUGUGAAUCAAUCAGAGAAUGUUUAGCUAGGACUUCCAGUACUACGUAUAAGAACAGCA
rnacentral:lncRNA from 10 species